CCGUCAAAUUCCUUUGAGUUUCACCCUUGCGRRGCAWACUCCCCCAGGSSGKKGCACUUAUCACGUUAGCUACGGCACAGAGCACGGACGUGCCCCACGCCUAGUGCACAUCGUUUACAGCGUGGACUACCAGGGUAUCUAAUCCUGUUUGCUCCCCACGCUUUCGCGCCUCAGCGUCAGUCCUCUGAUAGAAGCUCGCCUUCGCCACCAGUGUUCUUCCAGAUAUCUACAGAUUUCACCCCUACACCUGGAAUUCCAGCUUCCCCUCAGGAACUCAAGCCCACCAGUUUCCAGCGCAUCUGCAGGGUUAGGCCCUGCAUUUUCACACCAGACUUGAUGAGCCGCCUACACGCCCUUUACGCCCAAUAACUCCGAACAACGCUUGCCCCAUACGUAUUACCGCGGCUGCUGGCACGUAAUUGGCCGGGGCUUAUUCCCUGGCUAACGUCAUCCCAUGGGCUUUCCACUCCCACAGUCAUUCUUCACCAGGAAAAGGACUUUACAACCUUACGGCCUCCAUCGCCCACGCGGCGUCGCUCCGUCAGGGUUUCCCCCAUUGCGGAAGAUUCCUAGCUGCUGCCUCCCGUAGGAGU
rnacentral:rRNA from 1 species